rnacentral:rRNA from 1 species
AUUGAACGCUGGCGGAAUGCUUUACACAUGCAAGUCGAACGGCAGCACGGACUUCGGUCUGGUGGCGAGUGGCGAACGGGUGAGUAAUACAUCGGAACGUGCCCAGUCGUGGGGGAUAACGUAGCGAAAGCUACGCUAAUACCGCAUACGAUCUACGGAUGAAAGCGGGGGAUCGCAAGACCUCGCGCGAUUGGAGCGGCCGAUGGCAGAUUAGGUAGUUGGUGGGGUAAAGGCGCACCAAGCCGACGAUCUGUAGCUGGUCUGAGAGGACGACCAGCCACACUGGGACUGAGACACGGCCCAGACUCCUACGGGAGUCAGCAGUGGGGAAUUUUGGACAAUGGGCGCAAGCCUGAUCCAGCCAUUCCGCGUGCAGGAUGAAGGCCCUCGGGUUGUAAACUGCUUUUGUACGGAACGAAAAGGCUCUGGUUAAUACCCGGGGCUCAUGACGGUACCGUAAGAAUAAGCACCGGCUAACUACGUGCCAGCAGCCGCAGUAA